rnacentral:rRNA from 1 species
UUGGGCUAAAGCGUCCGUAGCCGGUUUCAUAAAUGCCUGGGUAAAUCCUACGGCUUAAUCGUAUGAAUUCCGGGUAUACUGUUUAGCUUGAAAGCGGGAGAGGCUAAAGGUACUCCUGGGGUAGAGGUGAAAUUCUGUAAUCCUAGGGGGACCACCAGUGGCGAAGGCUUCUAACUAGAACGGGUCUGACGGUGAGGGACGAAGCCCUGGGGAGCAAACCGGAUUAGAUACCCCGGUAGUCCCGGGUGUAAACGCUGCUCGCUUGAUGUUAGUCUGUCCGACCAUCUAGUGUCGGAGAGAAGUUGUUAAGCCAGCUGCCUGGGAAGUACGGUCGCAAGACUGAAACUUAAAGGAAU